rnacentral:lncRNA from 1 species
CCCCCUCAACUUCAAGCUCCCUGAUCUGAUCGUGGACACUGCAGUCCCCAGAUGGCUCAUCCCGUUAAGCUAAGCCCUCGGCCAUCCCUCCAGCUUUAGGAAGAAAAGCAGUUCUGGCCCAAGCCAGACUGAGCUUCCUGGGUGAGGGAGGGGCAGUGUCCCUACCCAGGCUUGGAGGAGGAGCCUCAAGGGGUGUGUGUGGUUGGGGGAGACAGGCGGUGUCACCUGUGCUUAGACCAGGGGCGGUGGGUGGGUACCCUUGAGGUGGCAAGGUCACACUGCUCAUCAGAAGUUUCUCACUAGGGUCUUCUCUGGCCCAGCCUUUGACUGAAGCUGGUCUGGAGACAGGGGAGUUAGAGAAGUGACUCAUAGAUGGCCUAAAGAAGCGGGGCCACUCAAGGACUCAGGACAGAGGGCCAAUCCAGCUGGACCGCAGGCAAACCCCAUGGCCUUUGAGAGAAGAGAGAAGAGGACCCGGUGAAGUAGGCUCCGAGGGCCUCAGCCCAGCAGGAGUGCAGGGAGCUGCACCAGGAACUCACAGAGGAUCAGGGAGAAUUCUGAGAACAUGCUACUGUGGUGCUGCCUAGAGAGGAAGGAUAAAUGAUGACAAGUACAUCUCUGAGUAACGGAGUUCAAGCAGGCUGGAUGGGUCCAUCUAUGGAUGAUCUUCCCCAGCCCCUUCCUCUUCCCAGCUCAUCCCUGGCUCUCUGUAUGAACAGUUCUCAUCAGUGGAAUGUGGUUGAUGAAGUGAGGUCUUCAAUUUUCUCAUCUACUGUGUGGUCAUGUUAUUUUCCUCAUCUGAGGCUUAAAAACUCACCUGCAUGCAGCACAUGACAGCUUAAAAUCUCUUGUGAACAAAACAGUAACAAAGACACCCACCAGGGUUGAGCAUCCCGUGUUGAUGACAGCGACCACCAGGGGUCAAUGUCCUCUUCACAAUCCUGUGUCAGAGCAUCACUUGACUGAUUUCAUUAGCAACUUCCCAGGAGAAUCAGCUUACAAAAUACUUGUCCCAUUUUCCAUGCAGAUGUAACCCAUCUAUUUUACUGAAGAAAUGGGAAGAGCUGAAUGCUGAAUACACUGAAUGUCUGCAGGUUGUGCAAGUUUGUGACUUUAUCACCUUCUAAUUUCUGAUCUGUGUGAACCACUCUACAGAUUUUUCUCACUGGUGUGAGAAAAAUCAGCCCUCUGGAUGUCAAAUAUAAUAGACUUUCAAUAAUAUAAAAGUCAACACAAGCUCCUCAUGGUUUCACUGCUCAGUGAUGACUCUAAACUUACACAAUGUGUUUCUUUAUUAGUUUUGUUUUCUGGUACCUCUACUCAGCAUCUUCACCACACCCAUUUUAUGUUUCUUAUACAGGUAAUUGAUAAUUUUAAAAUUUAUUGGUGCUUACUUUAAUUAAAUAAGCAGACAAUAUCUUAGAAUUUAAAAAAAAU